rnacentral:rRNA from 1 species
AUGCGAAAAGCUAUCAGUUUUACAUUUUUAAAUUUACAUCUUCUAUUGAAAAUGGACGGUGGAAAGGAAAGUCUUUUUUUCUCAUUGACUCAUUUGUUGACCCAGCACACAUGCGCGCGUGCACACUUGUGUGUUGUGCGCUCCGCCACGCCCGAGCUGCAUCUUCUACUACAAGUACCCAACCCAAGGUUCGCCUCUUCCUCUCCGCCGCAUCCAUCUUCACUCCAUCCAGCCGCUUCUCAUUUCUUCUUCUCCACACCGCUGGGAGGCUCCAUCAGCACGGCCGCCUCUGCCGCCACCGCCGAGAUGAGCCUGCUCAUAGGUGUGCGCAAGGAUAUCUGGUUCAUCAAAGAUGAGCUAAAGACCAUGCAGGCAUUCCUGGAAACCGUUGAAGCAACAAAAGACAAAGACAUGCUACUGAAGGUGUGGGCAGAGCAAGUAAGGGACCUGUCCUACAAUAUUGAAGAUUGCCUUAGUGAAUUCAUGGUGCAUGUGAGGAGUCAAAGCUUGUCAAGGAAACUAAUGAAGCUCAAAGACCGCCAUCGAAUCGCUAUGGAGAUCCGUGAUCUCAAAUCAAGAGUUGAAGAAGUGAGCAGUAGGAACACACGCUACAAUUUGUUCACAACCAAUGAUGCCAACACCGUUGACGAGAUGAAGUCCAAUGUGGAAGAUAUUCGCAAGCACUCGGGUAGCAACAUUGAUGAGGCAGAGCUUGUGGGCUUCGUUAAGCCUAAACGGGAGUUAAUUCAGAUGGUAGAUGUUAACUCCAGGGAUGGUCCUUGCAAGGAGAUAUGUAUUGUUGGCAUGGGUGGUUUAGGAAAGACCACUCUUGCACGGCAGACAUACGAAAGUAAGGAAGAUAUUGUGAAGAAUUUUUCUUGUCGUGCUUGGAUCACAGUAUCACAAUCAUUUUCCAAGAUAGAGAUGCUCAAGGAUAUGAUCAAACAGUUUUUUGGUAAUGACUCACUACGGACAUUCUUGCAUGAUGUUGAAGGGAAGACAGUGCGAGAACAAGACCUCUCCAAUUACCUCACAAGUGAGUUGAAGGAUAAGAGGUACUUUAUUAUUCUUGAUGACUUGUGGAACAUACAAGACUGGGAAUGGAUCAAAACUUUUGCCUUUCCUAGUAAUAACCAGAAAGGUAGCCGGGUAAUAGUAACAACACGAGAUGUUGGAUUAGCUGAGCAUAUUACUGUAAAAGAGUUGGUCUACCACCUUAAACCGCUAGACUCACUUGAUGCCACAAAUUUGCUACUGAGAAAGAGUAGAAAAAGACAGGAAGACAUGGAAAAAGAUGAGAAAUGGAAGAAGACAGUUGAACAACUAGUUAGAAAGUUUGGGUGCUUACCGUUGGCUAUACUCACAGUAGGAGGCAUCCUUGCUACUAAAAAGAUAGCAUAUUGGGCACAGGUCUAUGAACAACUCCCCUCGGAGCUCGAGAGUAACCCUAGCCUUGAGGCAAUGAGGAGUAUGGUUACUCUAAGCUACAAUCACUUACCAUCUCAUCUCAAGCCAUGCUUUUUGUAUCUAAGCAUCUUUCCUGAGGAUUAUGAAAUAAAAAGAAGGCGUCUGGUAGAGAGAUGGAUAGCGGAGGGGCUUGUUAGAGCCAAAGAUGGGGUGCAUGUUUUGGAUGUUGGAAUAGGUUAUUUCACAGAGUUAAUCAGCCGUAGCAUGAUUCAACCCUCAAAAGUGGACAUAGAAGGGAACAUUAAGAGUUGUCGAGUCCAUGAUAUCAUGCAUGAUGUCAUGGUCUCAAUUGCAAGAAAUGAAAAUUUUGUAUACUUGGCAGGAGAAGAUGUAACCAGUGCCGUGGAGGAGAACUUUCGCCAUGUAUCAUACCAUGGCAGCAAGUGCCAAAAUAUAGGCAUAGACUGGAGCCAUGUUCAAUCAAUAACGGUGUUUGGUGAUAGACCUGUGGAUCCAUCACCUUCAGUCUGUUCACCGGACUUGAGGAUGCUGAGAGCCUUGGAUCUAAAGGAUGCAGAAUUUGAAAUCUCACAGAAAUAUAUCAAUAAUAUAGGGCUGUUACGUCACUUGAAAUAUGUGAAUCUUUCUUAUGCUGAACAUUACGCAAACUAG